UUAAAGAGUGUAAAAACUCCCAACCCAUGUGAACUUACCUUUACCCGGAUGCUUGUAACAGAGCGGAUGGGCGUUGCUUCGGCCCUCUGGCAACAGGGGUCGGAGGUACCAAACUUUUGAUUUCAUAGUAUCUCUGAGGCCUAUUGGCAACUAUAACAACUUUCAACAACGGAUCUCUUGGCUCCAGCAUCGAUGAAGAACGCAGCGAAAUGCGAUAAGUAUUGUGAAUUGCAGAAUCCAGUGAAUCAUCGAAUCUUUGAACGCACAUUGCGCCCGCCGGAAUUCCGGCGGGCAUGCCUGUUCGAGCGUCAUUUCAACCCUCAAAUCCCCAGGAUUUGGUGUUGGGACGUCCGCGUUUGGCGGGGGUCCUCAAAUCUAUAGGCGGUACCGCACGGCACUGAACGCAGUAAUCUUUAUUCGUUUAGUAAGUCUUGCGGCUGCUUGCCUCUAAACACUUCUUACAAAAGGUUGACCUCGGAUCAGGUAGGAAUACCCGCUGAACUUAAGCAUAUCAAUAAGCGGAGGAAAAGAAACCAACAGGGAUUGCCUCAGUAACGGCGAGUGAAGCGGCAACAGCUCAAAUUUGAAAUCUGGCCUUCGGGUCCGAGUUGUAAUUUGCAGAGGAUGCUUUC
rnacentral:rRNA from 1 species